GACGAACGCUGGCGGCGUGCUUAACACAUGCAAGUCGAACGGAAAGGCCCUGCUUUUGUGGGGUGCUCGAGUGGCGAACGGGUGAGUAACACGUGAGUAACCUGCCCUUGACUUUGGGAUAACUUCAGGAAACUGGGGCUAAUACCGGAUAGGAGCUCCUGCUGCAUGGUGGGGGUUGGAAAGUGUCGGCGGUUGGGGAUGGACUCGCGGCUUAUCAGCUUGUUGGUGGGGUAGUGGCUUACCAAGGCUUUGAAGGGUAGCAGGCCUGGGAGGGUGACCGGCCACAUUGGGACUGAGAUACGGCCCAGACUCCUACGGGAGGCAGCAGUGGGGAAUAUUGCACAAUGGGCGGAAGCCUGAUGCAGCAACGCCGCGUGCGGGAUGACGGCCUUCGGGUUGUAAACCGCUUUCGCCUGUGACGAAGCGUGAGUGACGGUAAUGGGUAAAGAAGCACCGGCUAACUACGUG
rnacentral:rRNA from 1 species